GCACGCCGGAGACCGCAGUGGAACGCAUAGACAACGAAUGCGUCCACUGCGGCUAAAAAACAACAUUUAAUAAAAAUUAAGAUUCUUGGGCACUUGUUAAUAAAGAGACCUAGUCACAGAUUCUAAUGAAUCAAUGAAAAACAAAGCAGAAAGAGGCAAUUAGGCACUAACAAGCUUCACACAUACAGGAAGUGAAUAUAUCAGGCUGAGAGUACUUAAACCCCCCUGCCCAGCAUGAUGUUACACUGCUGUUCAGGAGAGGCUGCUACUAUUCAAAGCUGAACAUUGUAAAGGUGGUUAUAGCUAAUAAAGACCACAACAGCAUAAUCCUACAGUUUGCACUCCUAUGAGGGCUGGACCCGUGGUGAAUAUUGAUACAUUCAGCGUGAUCAUUUGAUUUUAAAUCCUUUUUUGAAAUUGAUUGUGGGACUAAUUAUACCGUAAAAAUCGGUUUUUUGGCCCCUACUUUGAUUGGUAUG